UACGGAGGGGGCUAGCGUUGUUCGGAAUUACUGGGCGUAAAGCGCGCGUAGGCGGCUUUGUAAGUUAGAGGUGAAAGCCCGGAGCUCAACUCCGGAAUUGCCUUUAAGACUGCAUCGCUAGAAUCAUGGAGAGGUGAGUGGAAUUCCUAGUGUAGAGGUGAAAUUCGUAGAUAUUAGGAAGAACACCGGUGGCGAAGGCGGCCCAACUGGUCCGGUACUGACGCUGAGGUGCGAAAGCGUGGGGAGCAAACAGG
rnacentral:rRNA from 1 species